CUUGCUAUCCAGAGAGCGGCGUACGGGUGCGUAACACGUGUGCAACCUGCCUUUAUCUGGGGGAUAGCCUUUCGAAAGGAAGAUUAAUACCCCAUAAUAUGGUGUCCGGCAUCGGUCGCCAUUGAAAGCCUCGGCGGAUAGAGAUGGGCACGCGCAAGAUUAGAUAGUUGGCGGGGUAACGGCCCACCAAGUCGAUGAUCUUUAGGGGUCCUGAGAGGGAGAUCCCCCACACUGGUACUGAGACACGGACCAGACUCCUACGGGAGGCAGCAGUGAGGAAUAUUGGACAAUGGGUGGAAGCCUGAUCCAGCCAUCCCGCGUGAAGGAUGACGGUCCUAUGGAUUGUAAACUUCUUUUGUACAGGGAUAAACCUGCCCUCGUGAGGGCAGCUGAAGGUACUGUACGAAUAAGCACCGGCUAACUCCGUGCCAGCAGCCGCGGUAAUACGGAGGGUGCGAGCGUUAUCCGGAUUUAUUGGGUUUAAAGGGUCCGUAGGCGGGCCUGUAAGUCAGUGGUGAAAUCUCAUAGCUUAACUAUGAAACUGCCAUUGAUACUGCAGGCCUUGAGUAAAUUUGAAGUGGCUGGAAUAAGUAGUGUAGCGGUGAAAUGCAUAGAUAUUACUUAGAACACCGAUUGCGAAGGCAGGUCACUAAGAUUUAACUGACGCUGAUGGACGAAAGCGUGGGGAGCGAACAGGAUUAGAUACCCUGGUAGUCCACGCCGUAAACGAUGCUAACUCGUUUUUGGAUCUUCGGGUUCAGAGACCAAGCGAAAGUGAUAAGUUAGCCACCUGGGGAGUACGUCCGCAAGGAUGAAACUCAAAGGAAUUGACGGGGGCCCGCACAAGCGGUGGAUUAUGUGGUUUAAUUCGAUGAUACGCGAGGAACCUUACCAAGACUUAAAUGGGAAUUGACAGAUUUUGAAAUAGAUCCUCCUUCGGGCAAUUUUCAAGGUGCUGCAUGGUUGUCGUCAGCACGUGCCGUGAGGUGUUAGGUUAAGUCCUGCAACGAGCGCAACCCCUGCCAACAGUUGCCAUCAUUCAGUUGGGGACUCUGUUGGGACUGCCUACGCAAGUAGAGAGGAAGGUGGGGAUGACGUCAAAUCAUCACGGCCCUUACGUCUUGGGCCACACACGUAAUACAAUGGCCGGUACAGAGGGCAGCUACCUGGUGACAGGAUGCGAAUCUCGAAAGCCGGUCUCAGUUCGGAUUGGAGUCUGCAACUCGACUCUAUGAAGCUGGAAUCGCUAGUAAUCGCGCAUCAGCCAUGGCGCGGUGAAUACGUUCCCGGGCC
rnacentral:rRNA from 1 species